GGAGGGGUGGCCGAGUGGUCGAUGGCGGCGGUCUUGAAAACCGCAGGAUGAAAGUCCCGUGGGUUCGAAUCCUACCCCCUCCGCCA
rnacentral:tRNA from 1 species